AGUGAACGCUGGCGGUAGGCCUAACACAUGCAAGUCGAACGGCAGCACAGUAAGAGCUUGCUCUUACGGGUGGCGAGUGGCGGACGGGUGAGGAAUACAUCGGAAUCUACUUUUUCGUGGGGGAUAACGUAGGGAAACUUACGCUAAUACCGCAUACGACCUACGGGUGAAAGCAGGGGAUCUUCGGACCUUGCGCGAUUGAAUGAGCCGAUGUCGGAUUAGCUAGUUGGCGGGGUAAAGGCCCACCAAGGCGACGAUCCGUAGCUGGUCUGAGAGGAUGAUCGGCCACACUGGAACUGAGACACGGUCCAGACUCCUACGGGAGGCAGCAGUGGGGAAUAUUGGACAAUGGGCGCAAGCCUGAUCCAGCCAUACCGCGUGGGUAAAGAAGGCCUUCGGGUUGUAAAGCCCUUUUGUUGGGAAAGAAAAGCAGCAGGUUAAUACCCCGCUGUUCUGACGGUACCCAAAGAAUAAGCACCGGCUAACUUCGUG
rnacentral:rRNA from 1 species